AGUGGGAUAGCUGAGUCAAAUGGUGGUUCCAUUUAGAGUUUUCUGAGGAAUCUCCAUAUUGCUUUCCAUAGUAUUUUUACCAAUUUGCUGUCCCACCAGCAAU
rnacentral:pre_miRNA from 1 species